GAUGAACGCUGGCGGCGUGCCUAAUACAUGCAAGUCGAGCGAACAGACGAGGAUCUUGCUCCUCUGACGUUAGCGGCAGACGGGUGAGUAACACGUGGAUCACCUACCUAUAAGACUGGUAUAACUUCGGGAAACCGGAGCUAAUACCGGAUAAUAUAUUGAACCGCAUGGUUCAAUAGUGAAAGACGGUUUUGCUGUCACUUAUAGAUGCAUCCGGGCCUCGUUAGCUAGUUGGUAAGGUAACGGCUUACCAGGGCAAUGAUGCGUAGCCGACCUGAGGGGGGGUAGGGGCACAGGGGAGGUGAGACACGGCCCAGACACCGAGGGGAGGCAGAAGCAGGGAAGCUACCGAAAUGGGGGAAAGCCUGACGGAGCAACGCAGCGGGAGUGAAGAAGGUCUGCGGGUCGUAAAACGCUGUUAUGAGGGAAGAACAAAUGCGUAUGUAACUAUGCACGUCUGGACGUUACCUAUACAGAAGGCCACGGUAACUUCCGU
rnacentral:rRNA from 1 species